rnacentral:lncRNA from 1 species
UUAAGCUCAAAUUCACAGGGCUGUUGGUAGAUUAGCAGGUAUACAGAUGAGAAAAAUAUCAGCAGACAGAAUCAUUUUCUUCCUUCUCUCCUUAAUUUCCUUCUUUACAUGCUGGAACAGAGCUUCAGUGCUUACAAAGAGAUUUUAGAGGCCAUUCCAGAUGCUGCCUUCAUGGAAGAGGAAUCCUUAAAAUAUACUUGGUGGCCGGAUGCGGUGGCUCACGCCUGUAAUCCCAGCACUUUGGGAGGCCAAGGUGGGCGGAUCACGAGGUCGGCAGAUCGAGACCAUCUUGGCUAACACGGUGAAACCCCGUCUCUACUAAAAAUACAAAAACAAAAUUAGCUGGGCAUAGUGGCGUGCGCCUGUAGUCCCAGCUACUCGGGAGACUGAGGCUGGAGAAUGACGUGAACCCAGGAGGCGGAGCUUGCUGUGAGCCGAGAUCGUGCCACUGCACUCCAGCCUGAGUGACAGAGAAAGACUCCAUCUCAAAACAAAACAAAUAUAUA